rnacentral:rRNA from 1 species
UACGUAGGGUGCAAGCGUUGUCCGGAAUUAUUGGGCGUAAAGAGCUCGUAGGCGGUUCGUCGCGUCGGCUGUGAAAUCCCGGAGCUCAACUCCGGGUCUGCAGUCGAUACGGGCGGACUUGAGUACUGCAGGGGAGACUGGAAUUCCUGGUGUAGCGGUGAAAUGCGCAGAUAUCAGGAGGAACACCGGUGGCGAAGGCGGGUCUCUGGGCCGAUAUUGACGCUGAGGAGCGAAAGCGUGGGGAGCAAACAGG